rnacentral:rRNA from 1 species
ACGAACGCUGGCGGCGUGCUUCACCCCUGCAAGUCGAACGGAAAGGCCCCUUUGGGGGUACUCGAGUGGCGAACGGGUGAGUAACACGUGAGUAACCUGCCCUUGACUUCGGGAUAACUUCAGGAAACUGGGGCUAAUACCGGAUAGGAAUCCUUGCUGCAUGGUGGGGGUUGGAAAGCUUCGGCGGUUUUGGAUGGACUCGCGGCUUAUCAGCUUGUUGGUGGGGUAGUGGCUUACCAAGGCUUUGACGGGUAGCCGGCCUGAGAGGGCGACCGGCCACAUUGGGACUGAGAUACGGCCCAGACUCCUACGGGAGGCAGCAGUGGGGAAUAUUGCACAAUGGGUGGAAGCCUGAUGCAGCAACGCCGCGUGCGGGAUGACGGCCUUCGGGUUGUAAACCGCUUUCAGCAGGGGCGAAGCUUGUGGUGACGGUACCUGCAGAAGAAGCACCGGCUAACUACGUG